GACGAACCGUGCGAACGUUGUUCGGAAUCACUGGGCUUAAAGGGCGCGUAGGCGGGCUGGCAAGUCAGGGGUGAAAGCCCACGGCUCAACCGUGGAAGUGCCUUUGAUACUGCCAGCCUUGAGGGAGGUAGGGGCGUGCGGAACUUCCGGUGGAGCGGUGAAAUGCGUAGAUAUCGGAAGGAACACCGGUGGCGAAAGCGGCGCGCUGGACCUCUUCUGACGCUGAGGCGCGAAAGCCAGGGGAGCAAACGGG
rnacentral:rRNA from 1 species